rnacentral:rRNA from 1 species
UACGUAGGGCGCAAGCGUUGUCCGGAAUUAUUGGGCGUAAAGAGCUCGUAGGCGGUCUGUCGCGUCGGCUGUGAAAACCCGAGGCUCAACCUCGGGCCUGCAGUCGAUACGGGGCAGACUAGAGUGCUGUAGGGGGAGACUGGAAUUCCUGGUGUAGCGGUGAAAUGCGCAGAUAUCAGGAGGAACACCCGGUGGCGAAGGCGGGGUCUCUGGGGGCAAACAACUGACGCUGAGGAGCGAAAAGCCGUGGGGGGAGCGAAACAGGG